rnacentral:rRNA from 1 species
UACGUAGGGUGCAAGCGUUGUCCGGAAUUAUUGGGCGUAAAGAGCGUGUAGGCGGCCCGAUUAGUCCGCUGUGAAAGUCCAGGGCUCAACCCCGGAAUGCCGGUGGAUACUGUCGGGCUAGAGUCCGGAAGGGGCGAGUGGAAUUCCUGGUGUAGCGGUGGAAUGCGCAGAUAUCAGGAGGAACACCGGUGGCGAAGGCGGGUCUCUGGGCCGAUACUGACGCUGAGGAGCGAAAGCGUGGGGAGCGAACAGG